CAUUUUGCAGAGGGGAUAGUUAGGAGAGAUGCAUUGGAAAAUAGGAUCAAAGAAUUAUUGUCUGAUUCUUCUUCCAAUGGCAUCCGAUCAAUGGUGUAAUUGCUUAUUUCAUACCUUUUGGGUAUAAUUUUAUUUUUUUUAUCGAAUCUUAGCAUUGCACCAUGGAUCUUCUCUAUUGUUGAUCCCUUAGAGGACAUUGGUCAUUUUGCAUGGGCCAGAGCAGUCCAUGAGCACCUCAUGAAA
rnacentral:lncRNA from 1 species